UUUAAAAAUGAGAUUCAAAUUAGGCAAUGAUUAUUGUUUCAGGAAAAAUGACAAAGUAGACAGGACGCACAAAGACCGGCUGGAUUCGAGUGAGACUGAAGAAAAAGCAUGGGGAAGUUGAAGGCCGGAAAUGCGGGAAAUGCAUGGAAACCAUAUUUGUUUAUGUAGAGAUUCUAACCUCCUAAGCUGGAAUUAAAAUCAGCGUUUAUCAAACGAUGACCUCAACGGGCUUCAACGUUGAGUUACCAAUUUAGAUUUCAUGUAAAUUAGAGCCAUCACGGCUAAUCGAUGAACGACUGAUUCUCAUCUGACGCAACACAACUGUCAAAAGCUUGAUGAAUGAAUUUGACCGAUUUUAUGUUCGUAGUUAUUUGACCGAAGGCUCCUGCAUCGCGGUAUCCAUACGUUUUCAGCUUUGUUUAAUUGUUUUUGUCAUUCAAGUCCAUUGAUUGAACUUCGUGAAUUACUCUGUACGUCUUUUACCGAGUUUAUCAUUCUAGUUUCGCCUGUUGACGUUAUUCGCAGUUCAGCUCGUGACAACAAGUUCCGUAUUAGUCCCGCCUGUCAUCUCUGCAAGCCCGGUCUUGAAUCCAUUUGUUUCAGGUUCAACAUACUGUUGGCAUGUUUCUACAAGCGCCUUUUUCUCUUUGCGGGAGGGGUGAAUGAUCAAAUGAAACAAGUCCUCCUCUAGCAUUUACCAAAUUAGAUCAGCAAUGGAUUUUUCAAUUGAUUUUCACGGCGAUAGUGAACUUGCGGCCAAACAGCUUGACCCAGUAAACGAGGAUUUAUUUAAUAAUGAUUCAAUAGUAGAGAAAGAACUCCAAGAAGCAAUGGAAUCCUUGGCAGAUGGCACUAAUGCUGUUGCAGAUCCUAUUGUCGAUGAUGUCAUUUCUUCGAUUCCCCUCCCUAAUGGAACUGACGGUCUUGAAGAUAUUCUUUCCGAUGAAGACUAUGGAGUUGAACCAGAAGAGACAGGCAAAUUCUCCGGUGAGGCAGUAGCCUCUGAGGCAGCUGAAGCCCCUGAAGAAACUGGAACCCCUGAGGAAGCUGUCGUUGAGGGUUAUGAGGAGAAUGUCCCAGAAGAAGGUACUGCACAGAACGAUAGUAGAACUGAUGAAGCUCUAGAGCCUGAACAGGAGGUACACUCAGAGGAAAAGGCGGAAGACGAAAAGAGCAAUCUUCCAGAAGAUUCUAUGCAAAAAGAGCCCAUAGGAGAGUCAGAGACGGAAGUGGCAAAUGAACCCUCACCUAAAAAAUCUCCAAGAAGCAAAAAACCAAAGGCAGACAAGUCUGCAGAUGAAAGCCAUGAAGAAUCACCCCUGAAAGUUUCACCAAGAGCCCGAAAAAAGCCAGGUGAGUCUGACCGCGAACAAACGGAUGAUGAUUCUAAAUCUGAAUCAACCUCACCAAAGAGAGUCACUUCUAAAAGUAAGAAAAGAAAUGUUCAGCAGUCAGGAGAUGAAAGCAGCAUAGAAUCACCGCAAAAAGUUUCGCCAAGAGCCCGGAAAAAACCAGUUAAGUUCGCCAACGUCAAUGAGUCUGGAGAAGAGAGCAGUGAGCAGUCACCGCAGAAAGUCUCUCAGCGGGUGCGAAAAAAACCUGAAAAGCUGGAGUAUGAGGAUAGCUCCAAGAAAAGCUCUAGAGAAUCAGACAGUCCUGCAAAGAGGGGGAGAAUGAGAAAGGAAAUACCCUCCGAGUCGGAUAAGGUUAGCUCUGACUCAGAUGUGCCACUGUCGAGAAAGAAGAAACGGGCAUUGUCUGGCAGUGACAGAGAAUCUGUGUCUAGUUCUAAAACAAGCUCUACGCUUAAAAGCAGAAAUGAAAAGAGGAAAAGGACCAGUGGCAGUGAAACAGAUGAUACCACCCAUUCACCAGUCAAAAAGUCGAGCAGAUUGUCUAACGGUCGCACUCGGGAAAGUAGUAGUCCGAUACAAUUUUUGUCUCCAGAAGAAGCCCUUGAAGUCUCACCUGUCGUUCAACUCGGUCCAAAAGUUGAAGGCGCAGGUGCUUCGUCCAAUGAAACUGCGAAAAGAAACGGUUCAAUCUCCCCACCAAAGCCUAGCGCCACCAUUAAAGGGACCAAGUCCAAAAAGAGCAAGUCCAGGCCGAAAGAGGUUGAAUUACCCUUAGACAAGAACGACAAGCUCAUUGAGAAACUGAAGAGCUACGUUACGAUGUCUGGUCACAAAAUCCAGAACUACAAAACUUUUUGGGAAGACUGCCCCACAAGACAGAUGAAAAUCAACAAACUGAAAAAAUUUCUGAUAGAGCAUGGAGUGAAAGUUGAAGGAAGAUGGAGUUAUAAAAAGGUGAAAAAAGCAAUAAAGAAAAAAAAACUUGCUGAUGAAGUUGCAGAAUUAAACUGCGAUGUCAUCAUAUCAAAGGGUCGUUCUCUACGAACCAGACGGUCAUUCUGGGAUCUGUCAGAGCCAGAGGACAGGAGCCUCAACUCUUCUAGUCCCCCAGCCUCAGAACAAAGGUUAAUGAAAGGUAGCGGAUCCAUGAAGCAAGGGAAAGCAAUCUAUAUUGAUUCUGACUCCGAGUCUGAUAAGCAAGUCAAACGUAAACUUUUUGCAGGAGGGAACAAUUCUAAUCAGUCGGAAGAAGAGGCUGAAUCUGAGGAAGUAUCAAUCAAAAGAGAUACCGAAACAGAAAUAGAAUCAGCACGAGAGGGGGACGAAAAAUUAAAGUCUACCAAGAAAACCAAAGGAAGGAACAAAUCACUCGAAUGCUCAACUCCAAAAUCGCAGAUCAAGAAAAAGUCAGAUGAAAGUGAGAAAAUGGAAUCGAAAGGUUCUGUAACCUGCUUGAAUAAAAAGAUCAAGUCAAAUAUACCUAAGAAACUUGAAGACUCAGCCUCAGAUUUUGAUUCAGGAUCAGAAUCUCGGAAGAAGUCUCAGGAAAAAGUCAGGUGA
rnacentral:lncRNA from 1 species